GUCUCAGGUCUGAGCUCUGCAGAGGAUCAGGUCUCAGGUCUGAGCUCUGUAGAGGAUCAGGUCUGAGCUCUGCAGAGAUCAGGUCUCAGGUCUGAGCUCUGUAGAGGAUCAGGUCUCAGGUCUGAGCUCUGCAGAGGAUCAGGUCUCAGGUCUGAGCUCUGUAGAGGAUCAGGUCUCAGGUCUGAGCUCUGCAGAGGAUCAGGUCUGAGCUCUGCAGAGGAUCAGGUCUCAGGUCUGAGCUCUGUAGAGGAUCAGGUCUCAGGUCUGAGCUCUGCAGAGGAUCAGGUCUCAGGUCUGAGCUCUGUAGAGGAUCAGGUCUCAGGUCUGAGCUCUGUAGAGGAUCAGGUCUGAGCUCUGCAGAGGAUCAGGUCUGAGCUCUGUAGAGGAUCAGGUCUCAGGUCUGAGCUUUGCAGAGGAUCAGGUCUGAGCUCUGCAGAGGAUCAGGUCUCAGGUCUGAGCUCUGUAGAGGAUCAGGUCUCAGGUCUGAGCUCUGCAGUCCUAAUACACAAAUAUUCAUAUCUGAUGUAUUUUAGAAAGUGUCCAAUAAAAAACUCAAAUUGAAUCAACUUUA